rnacentral:rRNA from 1 species
UACGGGGGGGGCAAGCGUUGUUCGGAAUUACUGGGCGUAAAGGGCUCGUAGGCGGCCAACUAAGUCAGACGUGAAAUUCCUCGGCUUAACCGGGGAACUGCAUCUGAUACUGGAUGGCUUGAGUUCGGGAGAGGGAUGCGGAAUUCCAGGUGUAGCGGUGAAAUGCGUAGAUAUCAGGAAGAACACCAAUGGCGAAGGCAGCUCUCUGGGACGGUACUGACGCUGAGACGCGAAAGCGUGGGGAGCGAACAGG